UGGGGGAUAUUGCACAAUGGGCGAAAGCCUGAUGCAGCGACGCCGCGUGGGGGAUGAAGGCCUUCGGGUUGUAAACUUCUUUUGCUCUGAACAAGGCGCACCAUGGGGUGUGUUGAGUGUAGGGGUUGAUUAGCGCCGGCUAACUACGUGCCAGCAGCCGCGGUAAUACGUAGGGCGCGAGCGUUGUCCGGAAUUAUUGGGCGUAAAGGGCUUGUAGGUGGCUGGUUGCGUCUGUCGUGAAAGCUCAUGGCUUAACUGUGGGUUUGCGGUGGGUACGGGCUGGCUGGAGUGCAGUAGGGGAGGCUGGAAUUCCUGGUGUAGCGGUGGAAUGCGCAGAUAUCAGGAGGAAUACCGGUGGCGAAGGCGGGUCUCUGGGCUGUGACUGACACUGAGGAGCGAAAGCAUGGGGAGCGAACAGG
rnacentral:rRNA from 1 species